rnacentral:rRNA from 1 species
AACGCACAUUGCGCCUUCUGGCAUUCCGGAAGGCAUGCUUGUUUGAGUAUCAGUAACAACCUCAGCUUCUCCCUCUUUACGGAAGGGAAAAGCUGGAUUUGAGCAUGUCCCCCUCCCCUCUAAUCAAAUUUGAUUUGGGUGGGGAGGAGGAUGCUUGAAAUACAGGUUCGACCAGACGGUUAGGGGGUUUUUUCCCUCAUCCCUGGGCUACAAGCAUUUCAUACUUAAUCCCGUCAAACGGAUUAUAUCUUUUGCUGCAGCCAACACACACAAAAGGGGGUGAUCGUCAGUGCUCGACUGAUGCAGGAAGUUGGACCCAGAUCUUGAUCAAUAUGAUUGUGAUCUGGCUCUGCUAACUCGAUCUCAAAUCAAGUAAGACUACCCGCUGAACUUAA